rnacentral:rRNA from 1 species
CCUACGGGUGGCAGCAGUGAGGAAUAUUGGUCAAUGGACGAGAGUCUGAACCAGCCAAGUAGCGUGAAGGAUGACUGCCCUAUGGGUUGUAAACUUCUUUUAUAAAGGAAUAAAACGCGGCACGUGUGCCUUUUGGCAUGUACUUUAUGAAUAAGGAUCGGCUAACUCCGUGCCAGCAGCCGCGGUAAUACGGAGUGUCCGAGCGUUAUCCGGAUUUAUUGGGUUUAAAGGGCGCGUAGAUGGCUUGUUAAGUCAGUUGUGAAAGUUGGCGGCGCAACCGUAAAAUUGCAAUUGAUACUGGGAGUCUUGAGUACAGGUGAGGUAGGCGGAAUUCGUGGUGUAGCGGUGAAAUGCUUAGAUAUCACGAAGAACCCCGAUUGCGAAGGCAGCUUACUAAACUGUGACUGACAUUGAUGCUCGAAAGUGUGGGUAGCAAACAGGAUUAGAUACCCCUGUAGUC